rnacentral:rRNA from 1 species
GGUGACGGUAAGNGAACCCCACGAAAAGACCAUCUCAGUUCGGAUUGCAGCCUGCAACUCGGCUGCAUGAAGCUGGAAUCGCUAGUAAUCGCAGAUCAGAAUGCUGCGGUGAAUACGUUCCCGGGUCUUGUACACACCGCCCGUCACACCAUGGGAGUUGGAAAUGCCCGAAGUCAGUGACCGAACCGAAAGGAAGGAGCUGCCGAAGGUGGAGCCGAUGACUGGGGUGAAGUCGUAACAAGGUAAC